rnacentral:tRNA from 1 species
GCGGCUGUGAUGGAACCGGUAGACAUAGGAGACUUAAAAUCUCCCGACCGAGAGGUCAUGCGGGUUCGAGUCCCGCCAGCCGCACCA